GUACUCUCACACUUCCCGAUCUUUGGAUUGGGAGCGGUGGACUUGGGUUUGCUGCUUAACAGUAGCUUACCUCAAAUAUGUUAGUGCAACUCUUGGUUGGACAUAAUACGGCGUGAUAAGUGUUCUUCGCCGGUGCCUCGCAAGAGGGUGGCCGAUCGGGGGAUGGUGCUUCAAACCGUCCAUUUUUGGACAAUAUUUGACUA
rnacentral:misc_RNA from 1 species